GCAUGAGUGCCAGAAUAUAUGGGCCUGGUUUAGGACCAAGUUAUAGUAAUUUUACUCUCUUGCU
rnacentral:tRNA from 3 species